GAUGAACGCUGGCGGCGUGCUUAACACAUGCAAGUCGAACGGGGAACCUUUUAUUGAAGCUUCGGCAGAUUUAGAUUGUUUCUAGUGGCGGACGGGUGAGUAACGCGUGGGUAACCUGCCUUAUACAGGGGGAUAACAGUCAGAAAUGACUGCUAAUACCGCAUAAGCGCACAGAGCUGCAUGGCUCGGUGUGAAAAACUCCGGUGGUAUAAGAUGGACCCGCGUUGGAUUAGCUGGUUGGUGAGGUAACGGCCCACCAAGGCGACGAUCCAUAGCCGGCCUGAGAGGGUGAACGGCCACAUUGGGACUGAGACACGGCCCAG
rnacentral:rRNA from 1 species